CCUUGAGCUUUGGCUGCCGGCUUAAGGCGUUACUCUCCCCCCGGGGAGUAACGGCCCCAAAGUAAAAAUCCAAAGGAAUUGACGGGGCCCCCCCAAACGGGGGAAGAUGGGGGUUUAAUUCAAACCACGCGCAAAAACCUUACCUGGCUUUGAUGUCUGAAAAGUUUACAAAAAUGGGUUGGGGCCCUCCGGAACUGUGAACACAGGUGCUGCAUGGCUGUCGUCAGCUCGUGUCGUGAAAGGUUGGGUUAAUCCCCGCAACGAGCGCAACCUUUGCCUUUGGUUGCCACCACUCGUGGGGACUCUCAUGAGACUGCAGGUGAGAAACCGAAAAAAAGUGGGGAUGACAUCAGUGUCAUGGGCCUUUCAACCAUGGGUACACACGUGCUACAAUGGGGGAUACAAAGAGGUGCCAAGCCGGGAGAUGAAACGCACCUCAUAAAACGCAUCUCAGAUCGGAUUGUGCUCUGCAACUCGACUGCAUGAAAUCGGAAUCGCUAGUAAUCUCGAAUCAGAAUGCCGCGGUGAAUACGUUCCCGGGCCUUGUACACACCGCCCGUCACACCAUGGGAGUGGUUUGUACCAGAAGAAGCUAGCUUUAACCGUCGGGAGGACGCUUACCACGAUGGGAUUCUCGACUGGGGUGAAGUCGUAACAAGGUAACCGUA
rnacentral:rRNA from 1 species